GAUGGGCUCGCGGCCUAUCAGCUUGUUGGUGAGGUAAUGGCUCACCAAGGCGUCGACGGGUAGCCGGCCUGAGAGGGUGACCGGCCACACUGGGACUGAGACACGGCCCAGACUCCUACGGGAGGCAGCAGUGGGGAAUAUUGCACAAUGGGCGGAAGCCUGAUGCAGCAACGCCGCGUGAGGGAUGACGGCCUUCGGGUUGUAAACCUCUUUUAGCAGGGAAGAAGCGAAAGUGACGGUACCUGCAGAAAAAGCACCGGCUAACUACGUGCCAGCAGCCGCGGUAAUACGUAGGGUGCAAGCGUUAUCCGGAAUUAUUGGGCGUAAAGAGCUCGUAGGCGGUCUGUCGCGUCUGCUGUGAAAUUCCGAGGCUCAACCUCGGGCUUGCAGUGGGUACGGGCAGACUAGAGUGCGGUAGGGGAGAUUGGAAUUCCUGGUGUAGCGGUGGAAUGCGCAGAUAUCAGGAGGAACACCGAUGGCGAAGGCAGAUCUCUGGGCCGUAACUGACGCUGAGGAGCGAAAGGGUGGGGAGCAAACAGGCUUAGAUACCCUGGUAGUCCACCCCGUAAACGUUGGGAACUAGUUGUGGGGGUCCUUUCCACGGAUUCCGUGACGCAGCUAACGCAUUAAGUUCCCCGCCUGGGGAGUACGGCCGCAGGCUAAAACUCAAAGGAAUUGACGGGGACCCGCACAAGCGGCGGAGCAUGCGGAUUAAUUCGAUGCAACGCGGAGGACCUUACCAAGGCUUGACAU
rnacentral:rRNA from 1 species